GCCUUGCGCAACGGUUGCUAUAAUAAUGGAUUUAUUUCUGUCAAUUUGCGUUUUGCUUUGUUUAUUUCUGCACAUAAUCGUCAAGUUUUUAAAGUGGAUCGGUCAUGAUUUACGUUUUAUUUAUGGUCUGCUCAUGUGCUGCUUGAGUCCAUGUUUUUGGCUAUGCAAAAAACUGUGCCAAAUGCUGCGGAAUUUAUUUGACUUAGUUCUGGAGUAAAUCGUGCGAGUUCUCAAUAUACAAAAAUUAUUUGAUUAAAAGUGCAAGAUAUUUCAAAUAAUUGUUAAAUUAUUGUCGUUUUUUUUAAAUGUAUUUUACAAAUGAAUAAGAAUAAAAGUUAAGAAUUAUAAGUAUUGUGUCACGAUUUCUUUUUAAUUAUAUUGAAGGAUUCAAGGACUCCAAUCGAUUCUAAGGACUUUUAUGAAUCUAACGAGGCUAAUCCUUCCAGGAUCGCAUAUAUAUUAAUCCAAAUAUAGUCAUUUUAAAAUAAAAUCGAAAAAACAUGUAAAAAACAACAAUUUUGUUAAUUUUAACAAAAAUAAAUUAAAUAACUUAAAAUUGUUAAACAAA